GUUAUUUCAAGAUUUGGACCUGUCAAAGAAAAACAGGCCUAUGUGUGAUACAAAAGAGGUAUUGGCUUCUGCAAUCAUGGAGGCUGAAAAGUCCCAUAAUCUGCUAGUACAAGUGGGAGGCCCAGGAAAGAGGAUUCCUAGUUCAAAGGCCUGAGAACCAGGGGAACCAAUGAUGUUGAUGCCAGUCCAGGAAUCGGAAGGCUUGACAACCAGGAACACUGAAAGCAGAAGAAGUGGAUGUCUCAGCUCAAGCUGUCAAGCAGACAAAGGAUUAAGCAGACCUUCCGGUUUCAGAAGAACAGAGGAAAACUGGAAGGACCUGGGGUGCUCGCUGGGGGUGAUGAGGAAACACUGCAGAAGACUGUCCUGCCAGAGGAAUCGUGUCCCUGUUUUGCUUUGGAAACCCCGGGGCCCGACUGGUUCCGCCAAGAGGGGGAUGCAUUUUUUGGCUUCAGCACUGAGAGGGAGAGGAAUCAAAAAAAGGAAGUAUCAUUUCCUUA